rnacentral:misc_RNA from 1 species
UUCGCUCGCCCCCCCGAGCCAGCGACGCAACUAUGGCGCAGCGCCAACGUAGAAAAUUGUACAAACCCGACAUAGAAGAUCGUCAAAAUGUUGUUUUUCGUCGUUAAUGCUCGUUAGAGGGAAAUUGAUGGCCGAACGCAGCGCGCCCGAGCCUAAACCGUCCGA